rnacentral:rRNA from 1 species
GACCUACGGGGGGCAGCAGUGAGGAAUAUUGGUCAAUGGGAGGAAUCCUGAACCAGCCAUGCCGCGUGCAGGACGACGGCUCUACGAGGUGUAAACUGCUUUUGUACCGGGGUAAAAUGCCUUACGAGUAGGGUUUUGAAAGUACGGUACGAAUAAGGAUCGGCUAACUACGUGCCAGCAGCCGCGGUAAUACGUAGGGGGCUAGCGUUAUCCGGAAUUAUUGGGCGUAAAGGGUGCGUAGGGGGUUUCUUAAGUCAGAGGUGAAAG